rnacentral:lncRNA from 1 species
GGAGCAUGGGAACUUAACCACUCGGCCUUGGGGCCAGCCCCACAAAAUGUUUUAACACUGCAAACGUUAGAAGUUUCGACACUGGGCACCAGAAGAGGUUUAUACUCCACUACAGUGAUGCUGGUGUACUUCUACACCAGGCUUCUGAGUGAUGUCAAUCAACUGGAGUGAGAGAACCAACCAUUCGGGGAACUAAAGGGUCGCAAUCUCCAUGGCACUGGAGAAUAGAAACAUCUCUAUUAACGCCACUGAUAGGACCCUGGGGAACCCAUCUCCGUGGAAGCCCGCAGCUGAGUGCAGUGAUGCCUGCCGGUUUCUGCUGUGUGGUUCAUCCUCCGGUAAAUCUGUCACAAAGCCUGUCUCAAUGGAAGGAGUGCCAAACUCACAUUGUAAGAAGCGCUUGUGUGAUGGGAGACAUGUCGCAGCCAUUUGGAGAACGCGAUCUACCACAUAGGAGUGUGAAGAGAUCUAUCCAACUGUUUGUUCCCAACACUUUUUUUUACAUCACUAGUUCAUGUGAACUAUGCAGUGGGGUGCACUUGACAUAGACAGUUAAUGAC